UGAUGCAGCCAUGCCGCGUGUGUGAAGAAGGCCCUCGGGUUGUAAAGCACUUUCAGUGAGGAAGAACGCCUGAUGGUUAAUACCCGUCAGGAAAGACAUCACUCACAGAAGAAGCACCGGCUAACUCCGUGCCAGCAGCCGCGGUAAUACGGAGGGUGCAAGCGUUAAUCGGAAUUACUGGGCGUAAAGCGCGCGUAGGUGGCUUGAUAAGCCGGUUGUGAAAGCCCCGGGCUCAACCUGGGAACGGCAUCCGGAACUGUCAGGCUAGAGUGCAGGAGAGGAAGGUAGAAUUCCCGGUGUAGCGGUGAAAUGCGUAGAGAUCGGGAGGAAUACCAGUGGCGAAGGCGGCCUUCUGGACUGACACUGACACUGAGGUGCGAAAGCGUGGGUAGCAAACAGGAUUAGAUACCCUGGUAGUCCACGCCGUAAACGAUGUCGACCAGCCGUUGGGUGCCUAGCGCACUUUGUGGCGAAGUUAACGCGAUAAGUCGACCGCCUGGGGAGUACGGCC
rnacentral:rRNA from 1 species